AUUAGGAGUAUUAAAUAUAGGUUAAUUACAAAACUAAUUGCACAGAUGGAGUGUAAUUCGCGAGACGAAUCUAUUAAGCCUAAUUAGUCCAUGAUUUGACAAUGUGGUGCUACAGUAACCAUUUGCUAAUGAUGGAUUAAUUAGGCUUAAUAGAUUCGUUUCGCAAAUUAGCACAGGGUUCUGCAAUUAGUUUUAUAAUUAGCUCAUGUUUAGUUCUCCUAAUU
rnacentral:lncRNA from 1 species